ACAGAGGGUGCAAACGUUGUUCGGAAUUACUGGGCGUAAAGCGUGUGUAGGCGGCUCGAUAAGUCGGAUGUGAAAGCCCUGGGCUCAACCCAGGAAGUGCACUCGAUACUGUCGAGCUAGAGUAUCGGAGAGGUUGGUGGAAUUCUCGGUGUAGAGGUGAAAUUCGUAGAUAUCGAGAGGAACACCGGCGGCGAAGGCGGCCAACUGGACGAAUACUGACGCUGAGACACGAAAGCGUGGGGAGCAAACAGGA
rnacentral:rRNA from 1 species